AAUACAUACCUACCAUGUGCAUGUGGCCCGGCUUGUUUGUUUGUGUCGGCCGGCCGGGCCACGUAGGUAGAUUAGGCAUAGAUAAGAAUAAUGUAAUAAUAUCACUGAGAUUAGGUAGGUACGUAGCUGAGUAGCGUUGUGCACAGAAUACAUACGUGCUCUCGUAGACACGAUGUUCUAUGUUGAUUGCGCGGUUUCAGCCUAGCUUAAAAGUCGCAAGUGCAGUCUAGGCCUAAUACUAGAGAGAGACCACACAUAAGAACAUUAAAUUAUAUUCAAGUGAUUAGAUACUCUUUUGGAGCUAUUCAAAUAGUACCAGUUUCUUUUAUGCAAUCUGUUUGACGUUACAAUUUGUUCCAAACGGCCUUGCAGACGACUUGCAAUAAGUGUCCCUAAUCUCAGUCACAUCCCGACGUGAUUCGUGAACAUUGCGUAAUCUGAAUUUAUGCAUUUUAUUGAAGCAUGGGGAACAUAUGCUUGAUUUAAAAACAUUAUAGGUACUUCAUAAAAUAGCCAUUGCUUUAUAAUGGAAUUUCGACAAGAUAAUUUAUUAAUUUAUUAUGAAGAUGAACCGAAAAAUCGCAAGAAAUUAUUUGAGGAUGCCAUUGAGUUUGCAAAACAGGGGAAAGUACUUUAUAUACUUCAUGAAGAGUUGAAUGAGUUGCCAGAACUAUCCCAAGACCUAACCCUUAUUAACAGACAUUACAUGAAGAUGAUUAGUUUUCUUUAUGCAAAGACUUUAGAAUCACUGAUGGAAAGUAUUUCUACAUUGCCUGAGUGGAAAAGUGUUCCCUCAUUAAUUAUAUUAGAUGAUCUAAACAAUUACUGCAUAAAGAAAAACAUGCAGGUUUUGUGUGCUAUUAUAGCACUAUUGAUAGAUGCAGCUAGAAGUUGUAGUGUCACAUUGGAGACACCAUGUCAGCUACGAAUAUCAAUCACUAAAGAUAAACUUGGUGAGGAAAACUGUGAAACUUUAAAAGAAUUGUAUUGUAUACCUAUGUAUUAAAUAAAAAUAAUUCAUUAAAAGUGA